GACGUAGGGCGCGAGCGUUGUCCGGAUUUAUUGGGCGUAAAGAGCUCGUAGGCGGCUUGUCGCGUCGAUCGUGAAAACUCACAGCUCAACUGUGAGCUUGCGGUCGAUACGGGGCAGGCCUCGAGUUCGGUAGGGGAGACUGGAAUUCCUGGUGUAGCGGUGAAAUGCGCAGAUAUCAGGGAGGAACACCGGUGGCGAAGGCGGCUUGCUGGGCCAGUUCUGACGCUGGAGGAGCGAAAGCGUUGGGGAGCGAUCCGG
rnacentral:rRNA from 1 species